AUGAAAGCCAGGCAGCUGUCUUUGAAUAACUUUUCAGAUACUGUCUCAUGGAAACAUAGUAGUAAAGGAAAAUUCACAACUAAGUCAGUUUAUGAGUGGCUAGAAAGGAACCUAUCUGGCCCUAAUUAUAAGUGGGUUUGGAAGGCUCCUAUCCCACUUAAGAUCAAAAUUUUCUUGUGGCAACUUUUUCAAAAUGUUGUUCUUACAAGAGAUAAUAUGCGGGCUAGGAAGUGGCCUGGGAAUCCUAUAUGUUCUUUUUGUUCAAAUGUUGAAACAGCAAACCAUCUAUUCUUUGCUUGCCCACUUGCCCGCACUGUUUGGGGGGUUUUGGGGACGACGGGUGGAGCAUCUUGCUGUCCCCGAUCGCUUUGGCAAAGCUGGGCAUGGUUGUACAUGUUUUUCCCAGGAGGGGGACGCUUUUAUAUGAUGAUCAUCGCUGUUGUCUGCUGGGGGAUCUGGAACCUUUGA
rnacentral:rRNA from 1 species